GAUGAACGCUGGCGGCGUGCCUAAUACAUGCCAGUCGAGCGAACAGAUAAGGAGCUUGCUCCUUUGACGUUAGCGGCGGACGGGUGAGUAACACGUGGGUAACCUACCUAUAAGACUGGGAUAACUUCGGGAAACCGGAGCUAAUACCGGAUAACAUUUGGAACCGCAUGGUUCUAAAGUGAAAGAUGGUUUUGCUAUCACUUAUAGAUGGACCCGCGCCGUAUUAGCUAGUUGGUAAGGUAACGGCUUACCAAGGCGACGAUACGUAGCCGACCUGAGAGGGUGAUCGGCCACACUGGAACUGAGACACGGUCCAGACUCCUACGGGAGGCAGCAGUAGGGAAUCUUCCGCAAUGGGCGAAAGCCUGACGGAGCAACGCCGCGUGAGUGAUGAAGGGUUUCGGCUCGUAAAACUCUGUUAUUAGGGAAGAACAAAUGUGUAAGUAACUGUGCACGUCUUGACGGUACCUAAUCAGAAAGCCACGGCUAACUACGU
rnacentral:rRNA from 1 species